ACUUAUAUUCUGUAGCAAGGUUAACCGAAUAGGGGAGCCGAAGGGAAACCGAGUCUUAACCGGGCGUUAAGUUGCAGGGUAUAGACCCGAAACCCGGUGAUCUAGCCAUGGGCAGGUUGAAGGUUGGGUAACACUAACUGGAGGACCGAACCGACUAAUGUUGAAAAAUUAGCGGAUGACUUGUGGCUGGGGGUGAAAGGCCAAUCAAACCGGGAGAUAGCUGGUUCUCCCCGAAAGCUAUUUAGGUAGCGCCUCGUGAAUUCAUCUCCGGGGGUAGAGCACUGUUUCGGCAAGGGGGUCAUCCCGACUUACCAACCCGAUGCAAACUGCGAAUACCGGAGAAUGUUAUCACGGGAGACACACGGCGGGUGCUAACGUCCGUCGUGAAGAGGGAAACAACCCAGACCGCCAGCUAAGGUCCCAAAGUCAUGGUUAAGUGGGAAACGAUGUGGGAAGGCCCAGACAGCCAGGAUGUUGGCUUAGAAGCAGCCAUCAUUUAAAGAAAGCGUAAUAGCUCACUGGUCGAGUCGGCCUGCGCGGAAGAUGUAACGGGGCUAAACCAUGCACCGAAGCUGCGGCAGCGACACUGUGUGUUGUUGGGUAGGGGAGCGUUCUGUAAGCCUGUGAAGGUGUCUGUGAGGAUGCUGGAGGUAUCAGAAGUGCGAAUGCUGACAUAAGUAACGAUAAAGCGGGUGAAAAGCCCGCUCGCCGGAAGACCAAGGGUUCCUGUCCAACGUUAAUCGGGGCAGGGUGAGUCGACCCCUAAGGCGAGGCCGAAAGGCGUAGUCGAUGGGAAACAGGUUAAUAUUCCUGUACUUGGUGUUACUGCGAAGGGGGGACGGAGAAGGCUAUGUUGGCCGGGCGACGGUUGUCCCGGUUUAAGCGUGUAGGCUGGUUUUCCAGGCAAAUCCGGAAAAUCAAGGCUGAGGCGUGAUGACGAGGCACUACGGUGCUGAAGCAACAAAUGCCCUGCUUCCAGGAAAAGCCUCUAAGCAUCAGGUAACAUCAAAUCGUACCCCAAACCGACACAGGUGGUCAGGUAGAGAAUACCAAGGCGCUUGAGAGAACUCGGGUGAAGGAACUAGGCAAAAUGGUGCCGUAACUUCGGGAGAAGGCACGCUGAUAUGUAGGUGAAGUCCCUCGCGGAUGGAGCUGAAAUCAGUCGAAGAUACCAGCUGGCUGCAACUGUUUAUUAAAAACACAGCACUGUGCAAACACGAAAGUGGACGUAUACGGUGUGACGCCUGCCCGGUGCCGGAAGGUUAAUUGAUGGGGUCAGCGCAAGCGAAGCUCUUGAUCGAAGCCCCGGUAAACGGCGGCCGUAACUAUAACGGUCCUAAGGUAGCGAAAUUCCUUGUCGGGUAAGUUCCGACCUGCACGAAUGGCGUAAUGAUGGCCAGGCUGUCUCCACCCGAGACUCAGUGAAAUUGAACUCGCUGUGAAGAUGCAGUGUACCCGCGGCAAGACGGAAAGACCCCGUGAACCUUUACUAUAGCUUGACACUGAACAUUGAGCCUUGAUGUGUAGGAUAGGUGGGAGGCUUUGAAGUGUGGACGCCAGUCUGCAUGGAGCCGACCUUGAAAUACCACCCUUUAAUGUUUGAUGUUCUAACGUGGACCCGUGAUCCGGGUUGCGGACAGUGUCUGGUGGGUAGUUUGACUGGGGCGGUCUCCUCCUAAAGAGUAACGGAGGAGCACGAAGGUUGGCUAAUCCUGGUCGGACAUCAGGAGGUUAGUGCAAUGGCAUAAGCCAGCUUGACUGCGAGCGUGACGGCGCGAGCAGGUGCGAAAGCAGGUCAUAGUGAUCCGGUGGUUCUGAAUGGAAGGGCCAUCGCUCAACGGAUAAAAGGUACUCCGGGGAUAACAGGCUGAUACCGCCCAAGAGUUCAUAUCGACGGCGGUGUUUGGCACCUCGAUGUCGGCUCAUCACAUCCUGGGGCUGAAGUAGGUCCCAAGGGUAUGGCUGUUCGCCAUUUAAAGUGGUACGCGAGCUGGGUUUAGAACGUCGUGAGACAGUUCGGUCCCUAUCUGCCGUGGGCGCUGGAGAACUGAGGGGGGCUGCUCCUAGUACGAGAGGACCGGAGUGGACGCAUCACUGGUGUUCGGGUUGUCAUGCCAAUGGCACUGCCCGGUAGCUAAAUGCGGAAGAGAUAAGUGCUGAAAGCAUCUAAGCACGAAACUUGCCCCGAGAUGAGUUCUCCCUGACCCUUUAAGGGUCCUGAAGGAACGUUGAAGACGACGACGUUGAUAGGCCGGGUGUGUAAGCGCAGCGAUGCGUUGAGCUAACCGGUACUAAUGAACCGUGAGGCUUAACCU
rnacentral:rRNA from 1 species